rnacentral:rRNA from 1 species
GUGGCAGCAGCCGCGGUAAUACGUAGGGUGCGAGCGUUAAUCGGAAUUACUGGGCGUAAAGCGUGCGCAGGCGGUUAUAUAAGACAGAUGUGAAAUCCCCGGGCUCAACCUGGGACCUGCAUUUGUGACUGUAUAGCUAGAGUACGGUAGAGGGGGAUGGAAUUCCGCGUGUAGCAGUGAAAUGCGUAGAUAUGCGGAGGAACACCGAUGGCGAAGGCAAUCCCCUGGACCUGUACUGACGCUCAUGCACGAAAGCGUGGGGAGCAAACAGGAUUAGAUACCCCAGUAGUC